CUGAUCCAGCAAUGCCGCGUGUGUGAAGAAGGCCUGCGGGUUGUAAAGCACUUUCAGUGGGAAAGAAAAGCGCGUGGCGAAUACCCUCGCGUUUUGACGUUACUCACAAAAGAAGCACCGGCUAACUCCGUGCCAGCAGCCGCGGUAAUACGGAGGGUGCGAGCGUUAAUCGGAAUGACUGGGCGUAAAGCGCGCGUAGGCGGCGUCGUCAGUCCGAUGUGAAAUCCCUGGGCUUAACCUGGGAACUGCAUCGGAUACUGCGGCGCUAGAGUGCGAAAGAGGGGGGUGGAAUUCCAGGUGUAGCGGUGAAAUGCGUAGAGAUCUGGAGGAACACCAGUGGCGAAGGCGGCCCCCUGGUUCGACACUGACGCUGAGGUGCGAAAGCGUGGGUAGCAAACAGGAUUAGAUACCCUGGUAAUCCACGCGGUAAACGAUGUCGACUAGCCGUCGGGCUCAUUUAAGGGUUUGGUGGCGCAGCUAACGCGAUAAGUCGACCGCCUGGGGAGUACGGCCGCAAGGUUAAAACUCAAAGGAAUUGACGG
rnacentral:rRNA from 1 species